rnacentral:rRNA from 1 species
CGGGUGAGUAACACGUGAGUAACCUGCCCCAGAGUGGGGGACAACAGUUGGAAACGACUGCUAAUACCGCAUAAGCCCACGGAACCGCAUGGUUCUGGGGGAAAAGGGAGCAAUUCGCUUUGGGAUGGACUCGCGUCCGAUUAGCUAGAUGGUGAGGUAACGGCCCACCAUGGCGACGAUCGGUAGCCGGACUGAGAGGUUGAUCGGCCACAUUGGGACUGAGACACGGCCCAG